CCUUAGCCCAGACAGCAACGACAUCCUUUAAUGGUGGUCCCGAAGCCUCGGGACGCCAUUAAAGAUAUAGUGAAUGGCUGGAAAAAGC
rnacentral:sRNA from 1 species